rnacentral:rRNA from 1 species
GACGAACCGUACGAACGUUAUUCGGAAUUACUGGGCUUAAAGGGUGCGUAGGCUGUGCGGAAAGUUGGGCGUGAAAUACCUCAGCUUAACUGAGGUACUGCGUUCAAAACUACCGUGCUCGAGGGAGACAGAGGUAAGCGGAACUUAGGGUGGAGCGGUGAAAUGCGUUGAUAUCCUAAGGAACACCGGUGGCGAAAGCGGCUUACUGGGUCUCUUCUGACGCUGAGGCACGAAAGCUAGGGUAGCGAACGGG